rnacentral:rRNA from 1 species
CCCUUAGAUGUUCUGGGCCGCACGCGCGCUACAAUGAUGCAUUCAACAAGUUUAUAACCUUGGUUGAAAAGCCUGGGUAAUCUUUUGAACUUUCGUCGUGAUGGGGCUAGACCCUUGCAAUUAUUGGUCUCCAACGAGGAAUUCCUAGUAAACGCAAGUCAUCAGCUUGCAUUGAUUACGUCCCUGCCCUUUGUACACACCGCCCGUCGCACCUACCGAUUGAAUGGUCCGGUGAAAUCUUCGGAUCGAGACUUUGUUUUGUUUACUCAAAACGCUGUUUUGAGAAGUUGAUUAAACCUUACCAUUUAGAGGAAGGUGAAGUCGUAACA